rfam:Gossypium hirsutum cultivar TM-1 chromosome 26, whole genome shotgun sequence
UGUUAAAAAAUUCAUCCAUUUGUACUGUUAAAAACUAGUAUGGCUGACAAAAUAGCUAGACAAUGACACAUGGCAUGCCACUUGUACCUUGUGCUAACGUAUAGUGACCAGUUUCUAACAGUAAAAAUGGAUGUAAAUUUUAACA